GGUUGGUACUUGUACCGACUGGAUGAGCAGCGAACGGGUGAGUAACGCGUGGGGAAUCUGCCUUUGAGCGGGGGACAACAUUUGGAAACGAAUGCUAAUACCGCAUAAAAACUUUAAACACAAGUUUUAAGUUUGAAAGAUGCAAUUGCAUCACUCAAAGAUGAUCCCGCGUUGUAUUAGCUAGUUGGUGAGGUAAAGGCUCACCAAGGCGAUGAUACAUAGCCGACCUGAGAGGGUGAUCGGCCACAUUGGGACUGAGACACGGCCCAAACUCCUACGGGAGGCAGCAGUAGGGAAUCUUCGGCAAUGGACGAAAGUCUGACCGAGCAACGCCGCGUGAGUGAAGAAGGUUUUCGGAUCGUAAAACUCUGUUGGUAGAGAAGAACGUUGGUGAGAGUGGAAAGCUCAUCAAGUGACGGUAACUACCCAGAAAGGGACGGCUAACUACGUGCCAGCAGCCGCGGUAAUACGUAGGUCCCGAGCGUUGUCCGGAUUUAUUGGGCGUAAAGCGAGCGCAGGUGGUUUAUUAAGUCUGGUGUAAAAGGCAGUGGCUCAACCAUUGUAUGCAUUGGAAACUGGUAGACUUGAGUGCAGGAGAGGAGAGUGGAAUUCCAUGUGUAGCGGUGAAAUGCGUAGAUAUAUGGAGGAACACCGGUGGCGAAAGCGGCUCUCUGGCCUGUAACUGACACUGAGGCUCGAAAGCGUGGGGAGCAAACAGG
rnacentral:rRNA from 1 species